rnacentral:miRNA from 1 species
UGUUUUGAGUUUCUGAUAAAUU